GAAGAAAGUGAAUGAGUAACUGAAUUCCAAAACGUGUAGAAAAUUUCAGGUUGUCCAUCCUUAAUGAUUUCUUCAAUAAA